rnacentral:misc_RNA from 1 species
UCCGAGUUGUCCCCGGCAGUCUCUUAUGAGUCCCCGGCAUAACCCGCUGGUAACAUAAGACAAGGGUUGCGCUCGUUGCGGGACUUAACCCAACAUCUUACGACACGAGCUGACGACAGCCAUGCAGCACCUCGACUGGACUCCCUUGCGGGAUAGCGGUGUUUCCACCGCCGUUGACCAGCCGUUCGAGCCCAGGUAAGGUUCUUCGCGUUGCGUCGAAUUAAACCACAUGCUCCGCUGCUUGUGCGGGCCCCCGUCAAUUCCUUUGAGUUUUAGCCCUGCGGCCGUACUCCCCAGGCGGGGCACUUAAUGCGUUAGCUCCGGCACGGGAGGAGUCGACACCUCCCACACCUAGUGCCCAUCGUUUACGGCGUGGACUAC